GCAUGGCUGAAUUCUGUGUUACUCUUGUCAGUAGUAUUCACAGUCAGACACCAUGCAAGAACAUCUUUCACUCUUCCUGUACAUACAGCAGUGAGUGGCUGGCCUGUCGUCCACUCCAUGCAAGAGUGAUGAACACAU